CCUAGUGGCGGACGGGUGAGUAACGCGUGAGUAACCUGCCUUUCAGAGGGGAAUAACGUUCUGAAAAGAACGCUAAUACCGCAUAACGUACAGUUACCGCAUGGUAGCAGUACCAAAGGAGCAAUCCGCUGAAAGAUGGACUCGCGUCCGAUUAGCUAGUUGGUGGGGUAAAGGCCUACCAAGGCGACGAUCGGUAGCCGGACUGGGAGGUUGAACGGCCACAUUGGGACUGAGACACGGCCCAG
rnacentral:rRNA from 1 species